CCAUCUAAUUCUAAAUUCAAAGCAAAACAAUUCACUGUUACUUCUUUAAACACUCCUCCUCCUCCUCCAUUGUUAAAUAAUAAUAAUCAUCCCGACAGAACCAACCAACAUACCAAUUCCUCCGUCAAAUCGCAUAGUUCUUUACCUGUUAAAAUACGAUCCACUUACUUACGCAUACGUAUAAACAUACGGUAUCUCUCUCACCCUGGACAUGGAGAGCAGUAUACCGUUAUCGACAAAACCAGAGCGGCGAUGGAGAUCGAAGCCGUUACAGACCUCUAAACCUUCUCUUUUCCUAGCUUUCUUCUCUUGCUUCGCUUGGCUCUACGUUGCUGGCCGGUUAUGGCAAGACGCAGAGAACAGAACAUUACUUUCUAAUCUUCUACAGAGAAAUGUAGCUCAGGGAUCGAAGUUGCUUACAGUCGAAGAUAAGCUAGUUGUGCUAGGAUGCAAGGAUUUGGAGAGGAGGAUAGUGGAGGCAGAAAUGGAAUUGACGUUGGCUAAGAGUCAAGGGUACAUAAAAAGUCGGCUGUCACAAAAUGAGUCUUCGUCGGGUAAAAAGUUUCUUGCAGUCAUUGGUGUAUAUACUGGAUUUGGUAGUCACUUGAAGCGGAAGGUGUUUAGAGGGUCUUGGAUGCCAAGAGGUGAUGCCUUAAAAAAGCUUGAGGAAAGAGGAGUAGUAAUCCGUUUUGUGAUUGGUCGCAGUGCUAAUCGAGGGGAUAGCUUAGAUCGAAAUAUCAAUGGUGAAAAUCGUUCAACAAAGGAUUUCUUGAUUCUUGAAGGUCAUGAGGAGGCUCAAGAAGAAUUGCCCAAGAAAGUGAAGUCCUUCUUUAGCACUGCUGUGCAAACAUGGGAUGCGGAAUUUUAUGUAAAAGCUGAUAACAAUAUUAACCUUGAUCUUGAGGGAUUAAUUGAACUUCUUGAACAUCGUCGCAGUCAAGCUAGUGCUUACAUUGGCUGUAUGAAAUCUGGAGAAGUUAUAACUGAAGAGGGAAGCCCAUGGUAUGAACCUGAAUGGUGGAAAUUUGGAGAUGAAAAAUCGUACUUCCAACAUGCGGCUGGUUCACUUCUUAUACUCUCCAAAAAAUUAGCUCGGUAUAUUGACAUAAACAGCGCAUCUCUAAAGACUUAUGCUCAUGACGAUACAUCAGUGGGAUCCUGGAUGAUGGGUCUCCAAGCAACCUAUAUAGAUGACAAUCGUCUUUGCUGCAGUAGCAUUAAACAAGACAAGGUUUGUUCCCAGGCUUGAUUAGGCUUCCAUACAGGUUAAACUUGCUUUUACAGUUGUUUAUCGGCACAUUCAGCGACACAUGCUGAGCUCCCAUGUUCACCAAGACCUACAUAGCAUUCACCGGAUAAUUCUUUUUAGGUGCAGGGAUUAGCCACAUUCUUUUAGGAUUAACACAAGCAAAGUGCAUAUCAGCGCCGCAGUUUGUGAACGCAUCAUUUUUUUCUACUUAUAGAUGAUUGUGCUGUAUUCCAUCCCCUCCAAGAGAUUCCUUCGUAGUUAACGAGCAAAUGGUUUAGUUGAACAGCGACACUGAACUAAGAAUUCCAUGUACCCAUAUCUGUACAAGAAAAAUAAAUGAUGAUAUGCGGCAUGUUUACUUCAUAUACACAAAUGAAAACAAACCAAGCAUCCUGACCUUGAAGCAGAAUAUCUGAUUGACCAUUG